UAUACUUCAAACUCUUAUUUAAUGACACAUAAAGACUAAAAGUUUCUGAUUUGCAGUGAUUUGUUUUUUAGGUGAGGAGAGGAUCUACRAAAAUCAUCAUUGCCUUCUUACCUGAAUUUACUCUCAGAUUGUCACUUUUGUCUGUCUUCAGCUGGGUGGAAGUGAGAAAACAUAGGAGCACCUCUGGGCUCACAUUCUUGUGGUUUACAACAUUCGAGAAACUAUUUCUGCAACUAUCAUUUUCACACAAGAUUCAGCAGAUCUCUGGAAAUUGAGAGACUGCUAGAGCCCAACCUGGAGGUUAAGCAUUGGGUGCAUUUGUUGUCUUUKACUACCAG
rnacentral:lncRNA from 1 species